rnacentral:lncRNA from 1 species
GAGACCUUAUUGCUCUCUUCCAAUAUCUGAAAGGUGCUUACAGCGAGAGUGGGGUUGGUCUCUUCUCACUGGUGACAGGAUGAGGGGAAAUGGCCUCAAGUUGCACCAGGGGAGGUUUAGGUUGGAUAUCAGGAAAAACUUCUUUACAGAAAAGGUUGUUAAGCACUGGAAUAGGCUGCCCAGGGAGGUGGUUGAGUCACCAUCCCUGGAUGUGUUUAAAAACCGUUUGGAUGUGGUGCUCAGGGACAUGAUUUAGCGGAGGGUUGUUAGAGUCAGGGUAGUAUGGUUAGGUUGUGGUUGGACUUCAUGAUCUUUGAGGUCUUCUCCAGCCUGAGCAAUUCUAUGAUUCUAUGGAUGGGGCUUUGAGCAACCUGGUCAGGUGGGAGGUGUCCCUGCCUAUAGCAGGCGGGUUGGAGCUAGAUGAUCUUAAAGGACCUAUCAAACCCAAACCAUUCUAUGAUCUAUGAUGUUAUGAUUCUAUGAUUCUUUCCUCCAACGCUGGCCUUUUCUUACCCUGCCUCUGGCUUCUUCCCAUAAAAAAGAGUAGCCUCUUGUUGUGUCAUA